ACACUUGUUAUGACAGAAUGCCAAAGUCGCCAAAGUCACAGGUGCCCAAUACUUUGAGGCAAAAGCUCGGGAAAGGUUUAUGGUUACCAGUGUUUGUUGCAGUCGGAUUCAUUGCGUUUAAUCGUAUAUUGGCAAAUAAGGAUACUUUUUUCCGAACACCAUUUGCAGAAUUAUAUGAGGAGAGAUCCAAAAUUGAUGAAGAAGCAAGCAGACAGUACAAGGAAAUGCAAAUCGAGAGAAUAAAAAAACAAGUGAUUGAGGAGAAACUGAAAGAAAAACGCGACUGAUAUUAUUGACAGCAUUAGAUUAUUUAGUAUACAUGUCGAUGUUUUUGUGCAAGAUUUGUGAAAGUAUUCGGAGUAUUAAGGCGUUUAAACCAAGCGAGGAUGCUGCUCGAAAGUUGUUUAUUGAAUGCAUUGUUAUAGAAAGGACGAUCGAAUUGCGCAGAAUUUUCACUUUCUACGAGGAACUCUGGUGUUUCAGUUAGUUGGUGUUUUAUAUUUGAAUACAUUGCGUAAUUAAAGACUUUCACAUACUUUC
rnacentral:sRNA from 1 species